rnacentral:rRNA from 1 species
AGUCGAACGAUGAAGACCGUGCUUGCACGGUCGGAUUAGUGGCGAACGGGUGAGUAUCACGUGAGUAACCUUCCCUUAACUCUGGGAUAAGCCCGGGAAACUGGGUCUAAUACCGGAUACGACCAGUCCUCGCAUGGGGUGCUGGUGGAAAGAUUUAUCGGUUUUGGAUGGACUCGCGGCCUAUCAGCUUGUUGGUGAGGUAAUGGCUCACCAAGGCGAUGACGGGUAGCCGGCCUGAGAGGGUGACCGGCCACACUGGGACUGAGACACGGCCCAGACUCCUACGGGAGGCAGCAGUGGGGAAUAUUGCACAAUGGGCGAAAGCCUGAUGCAGCGACGCCGCGUGCGGGAUGACGGCCUUCGGGUUGUAAACCGCUUUCAGCAGGGAAGAAGCGAAAGUGACGGUACCUGCAGAAGAAGCGCCGGCUAACUACGUGCCAGCAGCCGCGGUAAUACGUAGGGCGCGAGCGUUAUCCGGAAUUAUUGGGCGUAAAGAGCUCGUAGGCGGUUUGUCACGUCUGCUGUGAAAGCCCGGGGCUCAACUCCGGGUGUGCAGUGGGUACGGGCAGACUAGAGUGCAGUAGGGGAGACUGGAAUUCCUGGUGUAGCGGUGAAAUGCGCAGAUAUCAUGAGGAACACCGAUGGCGAAAGCAGGUCUCUGGGCUGUUACUGACGCUGAGGAGCGAAAGCAUGGGGAGCGAACAGGAUUAGAUACCCUGGUAGUCCAUGCCGUAAACGUUGGGCACUAGG